AUGGCGGCGGCGCGGUCUGCUCGGAGCGGGCCGGGACGCCGCGCCCUGUGACCCCUCCCGGAGGCAGAGGAUGGCUGAGGUUGGAAAGCGCCUCCGGAGGUCAUGGAAUCCGCCCUCCUGCUCCCCUAGAGCGCGCUGUCCGGCACUGUGUCCAGGGAAGGAGAUUCCGUGGCCCUCUGCCGUCCGCCCCACACUGAGGCCUGAAAGAUUCCCCUUCCCAAGUGGCGCUGCGCGCACACUUCUGCUUUGCGUCCUUCCAGUCAAAGCUGUGUGACCCCCUGGGCUGCCUGUGACGGCCCGCUGUUCGGCGUCCCCCAGCCUUCCACCGAUGGCCAAAAGGCUCGAGAAAGCAGGAGCGUGCCCUGCCUGGGAGGAAGCACCAGAUAUUGAGAAUGAAAAGAAAGUGAAGCAUUCAGCUUUCCGAAGCAUUCAGCUCUGUGAAUAUACAUGAAUUAACCAGCACAGUGCAGGUAUAAUGGAAGGGCUUCCUGGUCAUUCUGGAGCAUCAGCAGCUGUACCUGGAUGUGAAUUGCACUGUGAUACAGUCAGAAUUUGUUCCUGGGAGACCUAUUUUGCAAGCUUGUCUGCUGAAACUUCUGUAGAGAAGAAAGCAGACGGAGCCUUUUCAGAUUGCAGCUUCCCAGUUGCUGUGUUGAAAGCAUGAAGCAAAAGUGAAACCGAGGGAGAAACUGGAGCUGCCUCAUCAGUGCCAUUUCCAUACCGUGUCUGGUCUCUGGAGAAGGACAGCACGGAUGAAUUUGUGCAACAAGCCAACCAGCCAUAGAAGAUUAUAUCUUACAAGAAAAUCCACUUGUGGUGACUUGUAAGCUACGUUGGCCAUCCCUCACCCACAGUGGUAAGCAGUCUUCUGAGAUCCGCGAGAAUCUUUUUGGUAUACCUGGAAAUUAGUCUGAUUAUUUAAGUUUCUAAAGACAGAAUUGAGAAUCCACCUUCUGUGGACUAAAGAAUCUGUUUAGUGCUUGUUUCUCGUCUUGGCUGUUCUACUACAGUGAGCUUUACCACUUGAAUUCACUGAUUGAAGUUUUAAGCCGAAUAAAGCCUCUAUUUAUU
rnacentral:lncRNA from 7 species